UACGUAGGGGGCAAGCGUUGUCCGGAUUUAUUGGGCGUAAAGAGCGUGUAGGCGGCUUGGUAGGUCCGCUGUGAAAACUCGAGGCUCAACCUCGAGAUGUCGGCGGAAACCACUUGGCUAGAGUCCGGAAGAGGAGAGUGGAAUUCCUGGUGUAGCGGUGAAAUGCGCAGAUAUCAGGAAGAACACCAAUGGCGAAGGCAGCUCUCUGGGACGGUACUGACACUGAGACGCGAAAGCGUGGGGAGCCGAACAGG
rnacentral:rRNA from 1 species